UCUCCAAACACUCAUUGGUUUCUAUGUCUUUACUUAAACAUAUGGCUGGCUCUGUAGUCUCUCGGAAACCUGCACAAAUAGCCUUAAGAACUGCUCCUUUAUCCAACUUGCCUCUAUACUGUCUGUUGUUAAUGACAAGAGUUGGCAGUAUAGUCACAUCUCCACGAGAGCCUUUUCCAAUCUGGCAAUCUUGUUCAGCUUUAAGAACUGGGUUUUCCACAUCUGCCUCAGU
rnacentral:misc_RNA from 1 species